UCUUCCCGUACGCCUCGCAGA
ensembl:piRNA 21ur-8561 ncRNA